AGCUUGGUCAGCAACAGUCAAGCCAGGAACGUAACCAGGAAGGUGGUGGCGCAGGCACGCCAAACAGCACUGGGCUGGAUUUUUUUGAUGAACUUGUUUGGUGGACUUGGAGGGGCCGGCGAUCUCGGUGUUCC